GCCCAGAACUAAUCAGAAUUUUUGUAGCCAAUUUGAUAUAGAAAACACUCCAGUCGUAAUAGCAGAUAACACUACACUGUCUAGUACUGUCGACACGAGAGCUGACAAAAUAGUCUUGGAAAGCAUUAUUAAAGAGCAUUGCCAAAAAAUUGAGAGAAUGUUUGGUUCGAUCAAUUUAAAUUUAAAAAACAUUAACUCCAGACUGGAAAAAUUAGAAAAAAAUGCUCCCGCCUUGAAUGAAGAAGAUACGGUUAUUCAAGACAAUUUGCCAUUAAGGACAAUUGAGGAAAUCAACUCUUUUGAAAAUUUAGUAAAGACCAACAGAGAAGCAGCAAUUUUAUUUGUACGGAAAAUAGGAAAUAUAUUUCAAACACUGGUGGGAAUUGCCCAAAGGACAAUGUUGUGCGACUAUUACGGAAAAUAUUCACAAAUGAAUGCGCAAUGAAGUGUUCGUGGAUGGGGCAUCGGAAUAAUUUUGGAGUUUCCAAAUUAACCAUCAUGAGCAUUGUAAAUGCUGUUGUUCUAUUAGCAUUUCCGCAACUGAAAGAACAAGAGUUUGAAACGUUUUGCGGAGAAUGGCUUCGUUUCGCCAAACAAAGAUUCACCAGAGAAACCAAAGGCGCAGCAGCGAGAAAUAAUUAAGAUAUGGUCGUUUUAUAGAAUUUUAUUUUUAAAUAGUGGAUUAAUGAUUAUACAGGGUGGCCCAUUAGUACGUGGGUGGAAGAUUAUGGGUUUAUUUACGCACAUAUUUCAUUGUCGGGGCAUGUUGAAGGACUCUUAAGGCUACAACGUAAAAAUAUUUUUAACAAAAUUGCAACUGUUAGGUAUACAGGGUGAUUUAUAUCACAAUUGCAUUUUUUUAAAAUAGAACCCAUACCUAUUAUUACAAAAUUUCAAUUCCUUGGUCAAUUUUAGUGUGACUUUAUGUUUCACACAGGAUAUCUAAAAUCAGUUGUUUAACCGCAAUUCGUGAUUUUUUCAAAAAGAACUACCCUUUUUU